rnacentral:rRNA from 1 species
GAUGAACGCUGGCGGUAUGCUUAACACAUGCAAGUCGAACGGACUCUUCGGAGUUAGUGGCGGACGGGUGAGUAACGCGUGAGAAUCUGGCUUUGGGUUCGGGACAACCACUGGAAACGGUGGCUAAUACCGGAUGUGCCGAGAGGUAAAAGAGAAAUUGCCUGAAGAUGAGCUCGCGUCUGAUUAGCUAGUUGGUGAGGUAAAGGCUCACCAAGGCAGCGAUCAGUAGCUGGUCUGAGAGGAUGACCAGCCACACUGGGACUGAGACACGGCCCAGACUCCUACGGGAGGCAGCAGUGGGGAAUGUUCCGCAAUGGGCGCAAGCCUGACGGAGCAAUACCGCGUGAGGGAAGAAGGCUCUUGGGUUGUAAACCUCUUUUCUUAGGGAAGAACAAAAUGACGGUACCUAAGGAAUCAGCAUCGGCUAACUCCGUG